rnacentral:misc_RNA from 1 species
GCAAACUUGGUCAUUUAGAGGAAGUAAAAGUCGUAACAAGGUCUCCGUUGGUGAACCAGCGGAGGGAUCAUUAUAGAGUUUUUAACUCCCAAACCCAUGUGAACUUACCUUUGUUGCCUCGGCGGAGCCUACCCGGUACCUACCCUGUAGCGCCCCGCCGGUGGACUUCUAAACUAUUGUUAUUUUAAUGAUAUCUGAGAGUCUUAUUUUAAUAAGUCAAAACUUUCAACAACGGAUCUCUUGGUUCUGGCAUCGAUGAAGAACGCAGC